ACACAGGACUUUUUCCGACCCAAUCGGUCUACUAAAGAAGAGGAAACCAACCCAAAAACAAUGCUGGAGGCGAAGCCACAGACGUAGAGGAUGGCGAUCUGUCCCUCCAGGAAGUGGUAGUGCUGGUACAGUUUGUAGAGGUCGCCAACUGCUUUAAACCAAGCUGCCAGAAACAUUGUACCUUCAAGGCAGAACCUUCUGCAACACCAGGAGUUAAAGACAAAUCUGCACUUCACUGUUCUCUAAUAAAACCUAAGAGAUGUCCACUGGAGAGGAAGCUGGGCUGCAGGGUCUGUGUUUUCAACGGAUGUGACUGCAGGGAGAAGGACCUGCUGAAGUACAUUGGCAAGGCUUGCCUUGACUGCGAGAUGGGUCACUUCCUGAUGGACACUGUCAAAGUUAGGCAAAGCAGGAAACAAGGGGAGGAAGCCCGUGUCACACCGCGGUCUGUUUGCAACAGGUUCUGGACUGAGAGGAAUUGGGGGCAGGUGGAGAUGAACAUGGCCAGAAUAAGGCAAGUGGCUUUACUGAUGAAGUCACAACCAGCUUCUUCAGUUAAUAAAAAGUGGGAAAUUAAACACAUGCAAAAAUUAGAUCUGGUGAAAUGUUUUUUCCUCAAGUAGUUCAGAUUCUUGGAAGAUCCUUAGAGAUCUGAAGUGCUACACUUACGCAGAAGGGAGGAAAUGCUGUCAGCAUAGCCUGGCCACCGUCAGGGUGCCAGCUAAUCUCACGUCAUGAGUGCUGGUUAGGAGCAUCCAAGACUUGUGAGGCAUUUGGAGAGCAGUCAGGAAUUUCCAUUUACUCAGGAAAACUGAUUGGUUGAAUCAUACUCCGGGCUGAGGUUUGCAACCACGUCUUAUAGAUUCAGCCACACGUUGGGAAAUGAUCACCUUGAAGCCUAGGUUAUCUGAAAACCAAAGCCUUUAAUUUCUUUGGUGUCAAUGAAGAAGAGAAGCUCUUUACCGCACCGAGGUGUUUCUCUUGAUGAUCUGAGGGAUCUGCAAGGAAAACUGCUUCCAAGGCUGAUCUGAGUUCAAGAUCAUAACUCAGAGGAGCUGAGCUAUUAAAUAGUAGCUGCUGGUCUCAAUCUACCAUGGAAAACUUUUUCUUCUCUAAAGCCUCCCUGACAGGCAAAUAUUGCUCCACUUCUCCACUUCUCAGAUUAGGGUACAAAGAUGGUCAGGAUUUUGUUGAACCUAAAUCACUGAGAGUCUUUCAGCAAUCUCCCCUUUAUUCUAUGGCUGAAGUGCAAAGGGGUGUGAACCGAGCCAUCAAGACAAAACCAAGAUAAAGCCCUACAUUAAAUGGAAGGGCAGACUCAAGACAAUAAUGCUAAAAUCAGUAGCAGUAAGUGGAAGGCAGCAUGAUCCAAUGAUUAGUUCACCGGUGGAUGGGUAAGUCUUAAGAGAGCUUGGGCUUCCUGGAAGUGUUGGGCUUCCCGUGCUUGCCCUAUGCAAGACACCUGGCCACUCACAAUAGAAAUCAUCUGCAUGCCCUGAAGGUGCAGAAGUCAGGCUGAGUCUGUAAUAGAACCCUGCACUUUGGAAAAUUUUAGACAAAAUAAGAGAUAAAAAAACCCCUUCAAAUUCACUCAAACAAAAUAUCUGGAGAAGCGGUAGCUGCUGGGCUGGAGGAAGCUGUAAGGGAAUCCUCUGUUUCCAUACCUGCUUUCCAUCGUGAUAUGAAAUGCAAACUCUGUGGUCUUAUGCAUUUAGGACACCUAAAGGGUUAAUCAGGGCUGGUAUCUGGGGAGGAUUUAGUAACAAUUAAAGAAACCCAACCCAAUACAGCAGAUAUUACCCCUGAGCAUUCUGCAU